UUGGAACACUGUUUCCAUUUACUAAAAGUAUGUGAAUAUUGAGGACAUGUUGAACAUGUCGAAUAAAUGUGAAAAGUAUUAAAAUACAACUAUGUAUGAAUUUGUAUGACAUAUUGUAUGUGCAUUGGGAUGAGAUUUUAUAGUUGAUGGAGGAGUUCCAUAGAGUACCAGCGACAUAUUAAGUCCGCAUAUUUACAUAGUAAGUGCACUAAAUUUAGAGUAUUGAGGGGAUUGGCGAUUAUAUCGCAUUAUUUGUUAUUUGGUAGUUUCACUACAUUAUUGAUUGUAAUAGCCUAUCUCGCCCGGGCCCAUAAAGCUAUCCAAAAAAAUAAAUAAAAUAAAUCAAAGCAACAUUAAUAAAUUAAAAGUCCAAGUCUUUUUACAAAAAUAAAGGCUAACUAUUAAGCCCAAAUUGCCUAGCCCGGUUGUUAAGAGUAACCCAAUUAACAAAACAAAUUCUAGCCCAUUUGAAACACGGCCCAAUCACAAGACUGGCCCAAAUGUCUGAAGUCUGGUUUCAGAGGCCGAAAACCUAGUCAUUCGCCUUGCACCGCAGCUAGCAGUCGGUCUCCAGCACCACAUGUGUGCCACUAGUUCCUCGCGCGCGCCUUCGCUCGUGUCUUUGUACGACUACUCCUGCAAUGGAACACAUGAGAAGAAGGAGCUAACCGAAUUUACAGCAAAUGGCAGCAAGAAAAUGUAAUUUUAUUUUUUAUUUACUCUGUAAAUCCGACUACAAAAAGCCGUCGAAUGUACCUGCAAAUACUUACGCGCAGUAAAUAUCAGAAAAAGCAUUUCGAAAGGAAAUUUUUAAAGGUGAUUUUCUGCUUUCUAGUUUCUUUAGUUCUUCGUCGAAUCAUCUCAUUUUCUUUUUCGAUUUUUCACUAUUGUAUUUAAAAAAUAAAAGAGAAAGAGAAAGGCGAGGUCUUCCCUUGCGAAUCUGCCAUAGAUUCCUCUUGGCUUUGUUGAAAUUGAAGUUGAAAGAGGAAUCACAAGGCAUCAAAUCAUCUUUUCAAGAGUACGCCGUUCGCUGAUUGUAGUGGCCGAUCGGUGUUGGAGCGAAGGGGAAGUUAGGGUUCGGCUGCAAAGUGAAAGGGAAAGGGAUUUGGUUUUCUUAUUUUUGUUUCUAAAUGGUUGAGUGUGUUAAUUUUAGGUUUUUUAGUGUUAAUUAGGUGUAUAAAACGACACCGUUUAGGGCCUAUGCCAAUGGCCCCAAAAUGAAGCCGGUUUAAGCCGACCCGCAUCGAUCCGACCCGAUCGCCCCUAGGAUCCGUGCGUUUCUGCGAAGAGGAGAUAAUUGCACAUAGGUCCUCCCCUUUCGCACAAGUCUGUAAUUGCGCCAUAUGCAUUUUGUUUCGUUUUUUUAAAUUUGGUUUUGUAAUUUGUGCUUAUUUGCGAUUGGGUCCACGCCUCAACAAAGUGUUUUGGGUUCUGGAGUAAAUCCAGCUUUAGUCUCUGUGCAUUUGCGUACAUUGCGCGCUGGUCCCUAUUUAGGGUUUCUUUUAUUUAUAAAUUAUCCGUUUUAUUUUAGUUCAAUUUUAAUUUGGUUUUUUUGUUAUUUGUAUAACUUACUAAUUUAAAAUACAUUUAAUACUUUUAUAGGUGUUGAUCCACUUUAAUGCUUUUGUUUGUUCUUAUUUGCACAAUUAUUUUGAAGUUUCUUUAUCAUAUUAUUUUUACAUUUUGCACAAUAUUUCUUUAAAUAUUUUAUACAUAUUUGUACAUAUAUUAUUUUCAUUGAUUUUUCAAUUUGUAAUGCCUAUUAUUUUGAAGUUCACAAUAUUUUUAUACAUGUGUUGAGCUAUCUUAAUAACUUUAUUUUUGUUUUGUAAAAUCAUUGUUUUAAAAUUCUUGUUACAUUAAACUGUUUUAACACUUUUAUAUAACAUUUUGUUUAAGUAUUUUUAUAUAUAUUGAUACAUAUAUUAUUUUAAUAGAGUUUUCUAUGUCAAAUACUUCUUGCUUUAUGUCACCUAAUAUUUUUAUAUGAAGCUAUUUUAGGAACUUCAUUUUUGUGUUUAUAAAAUUAUUAUUAAGGAAUUCUUCUUUAUAUUAUAUUAUUCUAAUAUUUUAUGUAGUAUCUCAUUUAAAUGCUUUCAUGUAUAUUGGCACAUAUAUAAUUUAUAGAUUAACUUAAUUUUAUAUGCAUUAUUGAUUUCAUGCUAUUUUUACAAAUAAUUAUUUCUAAAUCUAUUUAGAUAUAUAUAUGUUUUGUAAACCUAUUGUAGGAACCCAUUUUUGUCCGGGCCCGUGAAAUGAAAUAAAAAAAAAUUUAUAAACCAAAUUAAAUAAAUAAAGUGUCCCUGUUAAUGUCCAAUUUACAAUAAACAGGCCUAAAGGCCUGAUAACCCAAAACUCGAUUACAUUUUACAGCCCAAUUAGUCUAAACCAAAAUACCCAUUAACCCAAUACCCUUUUUCACUCGUGACCUAAGCAACUACCCGGUUACACCCAUUAAACCUCCUAACCCAAAAAAUAAACACGGCCCAAAGGGCCCAAACCAUUAAUAGAAUCAGAGGACCUAGGGUUUUCUGAAACCCUAGGUGCCGCAAGCACCCCUACACCAGGCCUCAUCUCGCGCCGCAAUCGACGUGCCAAUCCCUCGUCACCUGGUCUUCACUCGCCUGCAAAAGGAAAGAAACAACAGAGACAAUACAAAUAUAGCAAGAAAUAAAAUCAAAUAUUGUAAAUAUUAUUUAUGUUGAUUUUCGGUGGCUAUAAAAGCCCGAAUCGAAACGAUGUAAUGGACUACGUUUUCUUACAUGCACAUAUACGAUAAAAAUCAGGAAAAUAUGAAGGUGAUUUACAUCUACAAAACCUAUUUAAUCUUUGCUUUAGUUUUGAUAAUUUCUUCUUGGUCUUUCUAUGCUAACAGUGAAAUACACUAUUGAAAAUCAAUUUUUUAUAUUAUUUAUCGAAAGGAAACCCAACGUUUUUGUUUCUUUUGAAUUUUUUUUACAAACUAUCGUCAAAAAGGGAAAAAAGAAUAGAUUACCUAUGAUUUGACUCGAAAAGGAGUGUUUUUGGCUUUCAGGCCACCGUGUGUGGCCGCGCCGAUGGUAGCGCAUGGGGCGCGUGCGGUGGAUGCUCGUGGCGCCAAUGCCCGGAUGUUAAACCGGAAGAGAGGAGGUUUCAGAGUUUUUUCAUAAGGUUUUUUCUUUUAAAAGACUAAGUUCAAAUGUUUUUUUAAUAAAAAAUAACUUAUAUAAUGAUAUGAAAAUGACGUCGUUUUUACUUAAUUCAAUAAGUAUCAAAACGAUGUCGUUUAGGGCUAGGAUCCGCGUGUUGACCCGAUAACCCGGGGAGGAUCCACGCAUUUUUGAUAAAAGGGAAAUUUGCCCCUUUAGUCCUUCCGCAUUUUCAGCAUUUAUAAUUUCGUUCAAUUCAAAUUUUAUUUUAUUUUAAUUUGGCCCUGACCAUUUAUUUUUGUUUCAAUUUAGUCCUAACUGCUAUUAUAAAGCCUAUUUCGGGAACGACGUCGUUUUGGAAUUAGGGUCAAAUUGCCCAGUGAGUUCCUCAGAUUUUAGCGCGUAUUGUAAUUUGGUCCAAAAUUCAUUUUAUUAUUUUAAAAUUAACCCUAGAGUUUUAUUUAAAUUCAAUUUUAAUCCUUUAUAUAUAUAUUUAUAUAAUUUAUUUAUUUUAAAUAUUUUGUAUAUUAUUUAUUUUACUUUAAACCUUAUUUAUAUAAAAAAUAUUUAUUUUAUUUGUAUUAUUUAUUAUAUUAUAUAUAUUUUAUUGUAUAUUAUUUAUUAUAUUAUGUAUAAUUUUAAAAUUUGUAAAUUAUUAUUAAAUAUUACAUUUUUAUAUAUCAUUAUUAAAUAUUUAGUAUGUAAUAUUCUAAAAUUUACUAUAAAAUUUUGUUCCUAUUUAACAUAUUAUUAUUUUUAUAAAUAUACAUUAAGUUAUUAUAUCAUAUAGUAUAUUUUUAUAUAUAUUAACCAUUUUUAAAAAAAUUCUCCUUUAUUAUUUAUAUAUUGUUUUAAAUAUUUUUUUAAAUACCUCAGUUAUUUUUAAUUGUAUUUAGUUUUUAUCUUUAUUUUUUGACUUAUUUUUUAUAUGUUCAUAAUUUGUUUAUUAUUUUUGUAUCUUUUUUUGUAUUUAUUUAGUAUUGUUUUAGUAUGUUAAUUUUAUCUCAUAAAUUAUUUAUUAUUUUUUAUGUUAUUUAUUGUUUUUAUAUAUUUGCAUGAAAAUUAAUUAUUUAUGUUGUUAUUUUAGUUAUAUUUGCAUGAAAUAUUAUUGUAUAUAUAUUAUGUAAUUUAUAUUGUUAUAUUCAUUGUUUUCUAUGUUGUAUUUUGCAUGAAAUGUUAAUGUAUGUAUAUUUAUGUUAUUUAUGAUUAUAUCUGCAUGAAAUGUUAAUGUAUAUUAUGUAAUUCAUGUCGUUAUUUAUCAUUUUCUAUAUUAUAUUUGCAUGAAAUGUUAAAGUAUGUAUCAUGUAGUUUAUAUUAUUUAGUAUUGAUAUCUUGUAAUAUGUUAAAUGCAUCAUUGUUUUAAAAAAAUUAUAUUUCAUUUAAUCCAAAAGAAUUUUAAAAAUGAUGCAAUGUUUUCGUAUUUAGGAAUUCGGGAAGUAGUGCCCUAACAUGCUAGGUUGCGAUUUCCCGUUUGUCUAAAUGUCUAAAGUAUCCUUCUAAAUAGAUUUUGUAAAUCACGAGAUGAUUUCAGUUACGAAAGUUUAAGAAUAUCGUGUCCAAUCAUGCUGGAUGUGAUGUUUGUACUUUUUUGGAGUGAAGGAAUCUCGAUUUUCAACUCAAAUUAUUCCGGUUUUAAAAAGGGAUCCUAUUUUUAAAUUCUUUCAAACUUUUGACAUUAAGACAAAAAACUAUUCAAUUUGGUACCAAUUUUGGGCGUUGCGAGGGUGCUAAUCCUUCCUCGUACGUAACCGACUCCCGAACCUGUUUUCUCACAUUUUCGUAGAACAAAAUGUUUUAUAAGGUGAUCCAAUCACACCUAAAAAGGUAGGUGGUGACUCCCGUUUUCAAAAUCUCCCUUUAAAAAUGGUUUCGACACCUAUUAUGUGUAUUUCUUAAGUUUAUAUCUUAUUAUGUAUUCUUGCUAUCCUUUCAUAUUUUAUAUAUUAUUAAAUUUUCCUUUAUUGUAUAUAUUUUAAAAAAUGUUUUUAACACUUUGUAUGUUAUUUGGUCUAAAAAUCUUCAUUCUAUAAUACAUAUUUUAAUGAUUACAUAUAUAUCUCUAGUUUGUUUUUACAAAUAGUUUCAAAUUCAUCAAUUCAUCAAUUCAUAUAUUAUAUGUGUUCAUCAUUAUUUUAAAUUUGUCUUAUACCAUAGUGUUUUUUUAAAGUUUCAUUUUGUUUUGUAUAUUUUGUAUUGAUUGUAUUAUAUUAGGCUAUAUAUAUUAUUGUUGUGCUAUUUUUUCCGUUUUUUCAUUGUUACCUCAAUUGUUCUCCAUACCUGCUUAGAAAGUUGGUUUUUUUUAGGUUAGUUAUAUCUAAUUAUUUGUUUUGGUAGUUGAUUAAAUAAGUUAUAUUAUCUUCAUUCAUCAAUUAUUGUAUUUUAUGCAUGCAUGUUAUCCUAUGUUUUCAAUUUUUCUGUUGGUUUACAAAUGUUGCUUUAUAAUUUCCAACUCUUUAAAAUCAACCAUUCCAUUAUAUUUCAAAUAAAAUUAAUAUGUUUUGAGUUUACAAAUAUAUUUUAAAAAUCCUAAAAUAAAGGCAAUGUUCAGUAUUUAGAAAUUCGAGAAAUCGUGCCCUACUAUGCUGGGUUUUGAUUUUUCGUUGGACUAAAUAUUUUGAUACCCUUUUGAAAUUUUUGACCUAAGAGCUUUUGGAAAACUCAACCGUGUUCUCAAAAGUAUAAAGGAUCAUGUCCUAUCGUGCUGGAUGUGAUGCUUUAUACCUUUGAAACGAGAAAGUUUUGACGACCAACUUAAACCACUUAAAUGUUUUAAAAGGAACUAUAUUUCAAUUUUUUUUUGAAAAAAACCCUAGACAUAAAGACAGCAAUUAAUCAAUCUGGUACCAGUUUUUGGGCGUAGUGAGGGUGCUAACCCUUCCUCAUACGUAACCGGCUCCCGAACCCAUUUUUAAAUUUAUGUGGACCAAAAUUGAUUUAAAUGAAACAAAAUAUUUUAUUAGGUGAUCCAAUCACACCUAAACAAAAAGAUUGGUGGCGACUUCACAUUUUGUUUAAAAGUUGAUUUCUGUUUUUUUAAAUAAAAAUAUGGUUUCGAUGGCUUGGCGACUCCACUGUGAUUAAACAAUAGAGUCAGGCCACAAAAUUGAUUAUUUUCUGACCUUUUGUUUAAAUUGGAAAUUUCAUUUGAAAAUCAUGAUUUUUUGUUGCCUUUGUUUGUAUGAUUGUUGCGGUCCAAGUCUUGUAGAAUAAUAUUGCAUUGCAUUGCAUUGCAUGACCGUUGCGGUUAUACCUUUAAGUGGGAGUGAGAAGCUAUGCCUUCGUGAGGUUUUCACCUUCGUAUGGGCUAGUGGAUUGCUUCUGGGAUACAUCCGUACCUAUGAUUUUGUGAGAUUUCCAUCUCUGCAUGGUCAUAGGGAAAUGUAUUCCCCUGAACCGAACUUGAUCCGUAUGAGCCUAUAAUGGGUGAGGAUUGAGAAAUCUACUGGUUUAGGUACCUUUACUUUAGAACCAAUCCACAUAUAGUGAACCCUAAGAGCCUUCUUUAGGUGGAGCUAGGUUAAACUUUAGUAGUUGCCCAUAUAUGUGCUUUGAUUAUCUUUAUCUUGCUUGUAUUUUAUUACUUAUUUUAGAUACUGACGUAUGGUGUUUUGUUUUGAUUUUGUUUUGCAUAACAUUGCAUAUUAAAGGAGGUGUCGGUUCGUGUUCGAUUACUAAGUUAGAAGAUUUAACAUGGAGAAUGAAUUUCUUGAUAAAGUUGAGGAUAAUGAGGCCGUCCGUGCAUGGUCAGCGAAGUAACAAUCAGAGAAAGGGGAUAGCCUGGCAGAAGGAUAUACAUCAGAGUUUUAGAAAUUCGCUCGCAUCAAUGUAAUGCAGAAUAAGUUGCUAGAGUUGAGAGAUAUAUCGGCUCGUUGGGAUAAGGGAACCAAAUAGUUGUUCUAUCAGAGCUAUGGUGAUAUACCUUACUUGCUCAAUAUUAAGGUGGACAUGCAUCUGUUCCGAGUUAUGGCUCAAUUUUGGAAUUCUUCCUACAAUUGUUUCACUUUUGGGGAAGUGGAUUUGGUGCCUACCGUGGAGGAAUAUACUAGCCUGCUGAGGUGUCCAAAAGUUCAAGUCAAAAAAGCUUAUGCUAAGGUUUUUAAUGAUCCAACUUUUGCGAAAAAAAUGAUGAAUAUUUCGGGGAUGAGCGAGCCUUGGGUCACUGUUCGAAUUUAACAAAAAGGGGAUAGUAAAUGUAUUCCUUGGGAGAAUUUAAGAGAUUUGGUUUUAACACUUCUAGAUGAAAGGAAGAGGACCGACAUCUUCGCCUUAAGCAUCUAUGGAUUGGUGAUUUUUCCUAAGGCUUUAAGGCAUGUGGAUGAAGCAGUCACUGACUUAUUCGAUCAUCUUGAGAAAGGAAUCACACCUGUACCUGCAAUACUGACUGAAACGUUCAGAUCCUUGAGCAUGUGUCGGAGGACAGGUGAGAGUCGAUUUAUUGGAUGUGCACAGCUGUUGAUGGUGUGGUUUCAUGGGCAUUUUUGGAAAGUAAACAAGGUUUCUUAUCGGGUUUUCUCUGAAAGUUAUUUCCCAUUAAAAGAAGAGACAGCUAUGCAAAGGAGAGACGAUAUUUCAGAGGAGAAAUGGAUGGAAAUUCUUCAAAAUCUCAAGGAGGAGGAUAUAGAGUGGAGAGCUUUUUGGAUGGUUGCUGAUGAGAUCCUGUAUCGAUGUGGGAACUUUGAUUGGGUACCAUUGUCAGGAAUUUGGGGAGCUACUGGAUAUACUCCUUUGCUUACAUUAAGGCAAUAUAAAUUGAGGCAGUUUAUACCCACUACUUCUGGGCUUGCUUAGUGCGAAUUCCCAUAUAAAGGUGACCAUUAUAAGAAGAAAGUUUGGGAAAUAUCUGAUGCUUGGAAGCAAACUCGUUGGAUGAAGAGGUUGGCUGUCGGUUCUAUGACAACAGCUGAGUACAUUGGAUGGUUUAGGAAAAGGGUCAAUGAUAAUAUUCCUAGACCAAGCUUAGAAGACACCCGACCAAUGGAGGAACAAUUACAAGUUGCCCCGUCAGAGUUGGAAAUUAUAAAGCAAGACUUUGAGAAAAAGAGUUCUGAGCUUGGGAAAAGGAUCAAGCAGUUGGAAGAAGAGAAAAUGCACCUGAAAUAAGAUGUGAAAGUUUAGAAGUCAGAGGUAGACAAGUUACGGAAAAGGAAGAUUGAAGUGGAGGAGGAUUUGGAAAGUUUGAAGACAGAUUAUAAGAAGCUACGCCUGUCGAUGAGGACUGCUGGGUUAGGUAAAAAUUCAGAGCAGUGGCGUCAGAAAGUUUGAGAAGAAAAAACUAAAGUAGAUCAGUAGAAGGAGGUUCCAGGAGGCUCAAGCUCGAAACGAAGCCUUGGAGAAAAGUCUGUCAGAGAGUAAAAAUGAACAAGAUGAAUUAAGGGCUAGAGUAGCAGAACUUGAGAGAUCUCUAUGUCUGUACCGAAAUUGUAAUUCCCUGAUGGAGUUGAGAGCAAGCUUAAGCAAGAUCAUAGAGAUGGAAGGGAAAAUAGAAGAACUAGAGACGGCAUUGCAAAGUUGUGAAAUGAGGAUCGAGUUCUUGGAAGCAAAUAAAGAACAACGGAAGGGACAGCUUCAUCACUCUCAAGACCAAGUUAGAAGCAGGGGUUACAUCAUGGGAGAAGCUGUAACACAAAUUCGAGAAGUAGCUAAUUACUUGCAGACUUUAGAGGUACAAGCAGACAUAUUAAGUGUGAAGUAUGAGUUGCAAUCAGAUAGGGGACAAGAACUAGCUUCGUUGCUUAGGAAAAUCAAGGCUCUGAGCUUUAGGGCAAAGUCUUAUUUGCAACUCAGUUUUAUGUAAAUAAUUUUAUUUUCUAGUCAAGUUUUCUAAAUGGAAUUGAAUCAGAAUUGAUGCCUCCUUUGCAUUCAUGCAUUUGCAUUACAUUACAUCAUAUGCAUUAAAUGCUAUAACAAGAUUUUAAUUAAUUUAAAAUUAUUUUAGUAAUCUGGAAACCAACAAAAACACACCAAAUAUGCAUCCCUACGGUACAAGGAAAAAAACUAAGUCAAUCGACAAAAGACUGGAAAAGUUAGAGCAAAUGCAAAAAGAUAUGCAAGAACAAAUGCAGUCACAGAUGCAAGAGCAGCUAGCUAAGAUUCAGCAAGAGAUGAAAGAUCAAAUGAUGGAGUCCCAAAGAGAGAUGAUGAGUCAAUUGUCCCAAUUGCUGAUAGGAAGAAUGGAUAAGGGAAAAGGUCCUAUAGAUAAUGUUGGGGAAAAUAAUGAAGACCCUCAAUAUCCUCCUGGCUUUACUCCAACACAUGUACAGACACAACCUAAGACCAAUUUGCAAAAACCAUCUGUUACAAUCAGGCCUUAGCAAUUUUAGGCUGGAGUGUCAGUACCAAUGAAUUUCCAAGCUAGUUCAGGGUUUAAUCCUGGUAACAACUCAAAUAAUCCAAUGGUCCCUGAUUUGGAUGAAGUUGUGAAGGAAGAAAAAGUAAGGGCAGAAUCACAGAAGCAAUUGGAGGAACGGUGUAAAUGGCUAGAGGAAAAGGUCAGGGCAAUGGAAGGUGUUGAUAGACAUCCUGGAAUUGAUGCAAAAGAUUUAAGUUAUGUCCCAGAUUUAGUACUUCCAUAUAAGUUCAAGAUGCCAAAAUUCGAGAAGUAUAAUGGAACUAGCUGUCCUGAAGCUCAUAUUACCAUGUUUUGCAGAAGAAUGACUGGGUACGUUAAUAACGAUCAAUUGUUGAUUCAUUGCUUCUAGGACAGUUUGGUGGGAAUAGCUGCUAAAUGGUACAAUCAGUUGAGUCGAAACAGAAUUAGUUCAUGGAGAGAUUUGGCACAAGCAUUCAUGAAGCAGUAUAGCCAUGUGACAGAUAUGACUCUUGAUAGAAUUACUCUGCAGAAUAUAGAAAAGAAACCAAACGAAAGUUUUAAGCAGUAUGUGCAGAGAUGGAAGGAAAUGGUUAUCCAAGUUCAACCACCACUCUUGGAGAAGGAAACUACAAUGCUCUUUAUUAAUACCUUAAAAGCUCCGUUCAUAAAUCACAUGUUAGGAAGUGCCACAAGGAGUUUUGCAGAUGUGGUCAUGAUAGGAGAAAUGAUUGAGAAUGCUAUAAGAAAUGGAAGGAUAGAUGCAGGAGAAAGUGCUAAAAGGUCUGCUCCGCGGAAAAAGAAAAAUGAGGUGAACAAUGCAAACAUGAGGUAUUCAAAAUCUGUUAUUGUAAGUCAACCAAAAGUGAUAACUGCUGGUCAGGGCUUAUCAAGGCAGGAAUCUAGAGCAAAGCAAAAUAAUGAGAAACUUCAAUUUACUCCAAUCCCUAUGACAUAUAAAGAAUUAUAUCAAAGUUUGUUUGACGCACAUGUGGUGGCACCUUUUUAUCUAAAGCCAUUACAACCUUCAUUCCCUAAAUGGUACGAUGCCAAUGCUUAAUAUGAGUAUCAUGCAGGGAUCGUAGGGCAUUCGAUAGAAAAUUGCACUACUUUUAAGAAGCUGGUUGAGAGAUUUAUUCAGAUAGGUAUUGUGAAGUUCGAUAAUGUGCCCAGUACAGAAAAUCUGCUACCUAAUCAUACUGAUAGUGGGGUAAAUACAAUAGAUAGAGGUAUGGGAAAAAGAACCAAGGUGGAUGUUUCAGAAGUAAAAACUCUUUUGAAAUGGGUCUGGAAGGAGAUGGCAAGAAGGGGGUUAGUUACUUCGAAUUCAGAAGAAAAUGAUGAUAAGAUAGAGAAUUAUUGUGAGUUCCAUCAUGAAGAGGGUCAUGGAAUUCAGGAAUGAGAAGAGUUCAGAGCUGCUAUCCAAGGCCUGAUGGAUAACAAGGAGAUAUAAUUUUAUGAAGAGGUUAAGGAGGAAAGUUAUAUAUGUGCGUCGAAAUCCACAAUGAACGUCCCAAAAGUCAAUCGUCCUGUGGUCAUUAUUUCACGUCCUAAGAAUGAAGCAGGAAUUCAGAUAACACCGAAGAUCAUAAUUUAGAAGCCAGCAGUUUUCUCCUACAAGGAUAGAAAAAAGGUCAUUGGAAUUAUGAUUGUAGUGUGACAGACCCGGGAAAAGAGAGUUCAGUCAGCCUGUUUAAGGAGGAUCAAAAUAUAGGUUUUCACACGCGCAGUAGAAGACAAUAUGAUUUGAUAAGUGCCCGAACAGAGCCUGUAAAAGGAAAAAAUUUGACGGUCGAACAAAAAAGGGGAAAAGCAGUUGAACCUAAGGUCCUGUUAAUGAACCGAUGAAAGAAGAAGAAGCUAAGGAAUUCCUGAAAUUUCUGAAGCAUAGUGAGUACAAUGUGGUGGAACAGUUACAUAAACAACCAGCCCGCAUAUCUAUGUUAGCUUUGCUUCUUAACUCAAAAGUACAUCGAAGUGCAUUGAUGAAAGUGCUAAACGAGACAUAUGUAACCAAUGAUAUUUCUGUCAACAAGUUGGACCAGUUGGUGAAUAAUAUAAGUGCUGAUAACUUCAUCUUCUUCAAUGAUGAUGAGAUACCACCAGGACGAAUGGGAUCUAAAAAACCUUUGCAUAUAACUACCAAAUGUAAAGGAUAUACAUUGUCAGGGGUUCUGGUUGACAAUGGGUCGGCAUUGAAUGUAUUGCCCUUGUCCACGUUAAAUAGGUUACCUGUGGAUAGCUUACAUAUGAAGGGAUGUCAAAAUAUAGUGUGAGCAUUUAACGGCACGGAAAGGAGAGUUAUGGGAAGAAUAGAAAUACCUUUGCUGAUUGGCCCAACUAUAUAUGAAGUAGAUUUCUUAGUAAUGGAUAUUAAGCCCUCUUACAACUGCUUGUUGGGGAGACCUUGGAUACAUUCGGCAGGGGCAGUGCCUUCAUCAUUACAUCAGAAGCUAAAGCUAGUAUCUAAAGGAUGGUUGGUAACGAUAAAUGCUGAAGAGGAUAUUAUUGCGGCUGUAAGCAGUGAUGUGCCGUAUUUAGAGAUAGAUGAGGAAGCCAUUGAGUGUUCUUUUCGAUCUUUGGAGUUUGUAAAUGCAACAUUCAUCACUGAGGGAAGUAGAAUUCUAGAGCUGAAAAUGUCUAAAACUAUGAUGAUGGGUUUACAGUUGAUGGUAGACGUGGAGCUUUACCAGGAAAGGGAUUUGGGAGAUGUCUCCAUGGAAGAAUUGAGGUUCUGAUGUUGAAGGACAAGCAUAAUCGCUUUGGUUUGGGGUUCAAUCCAGAUGCGAGACAAAGGAAAAGGGAAUUGGAAAGAAGGCAGGAAAGAAGAAGAGCACGUGUGAGUGGUGGAGAAAUUAAGUGGGAACCCAUGAUAAUUCCUUACAUUUCCAGGACUUUUGUAUCAGGAGGGAUUAUUUAUCCUGAAUGAGGGAUGCCAGAGAAAGAAAACGUGGAAGGAGAAUUGGAAAAUGUGCACAUCAAUACCAUAUUUGAAGAGACAAUUGAUGACGGGAUUUCAUCAGAUAUUCGUCCAUAUGAGCCUGGGAGUGUUCUAGACAAUUGGACUGCAGAAGACCUUCCUGUAGAUUUUAGAGCUCACUCAGAGUAAUGUUCAAAACAAACUUAUUGUUUUAAGCCUAAAGGCAAUAAAGAUUUCUUUAUGAAAUAGGCUCAUGUUCAAAUAUCAUUAUUUCAAUGAAUUACAUUUUUGCUAUCAUUUUGAGCAGAUAACCUUUCAAUCUUUUCACAAAGCAAUUGUUUUAUCCUUUUUAUUUAAAUAAUUAUCCUGAUUCUUUUUUGGACUUUCUCUUAUUAUUCUUUUAUUCAUAAACAUACCAUAUAAAACAAUAAUUAUCAAAUUCAUUCAUUCUUUGUAUAUUUUUGUACCUAUAAUAGCUCUUUGGAUAUCAAUAUCAUGAGUGACAUUGUUACUGACUCAGAAUCACUAUUUGAGCAAGACAUGUGUUUAGAGGGAUCUCAGGACUUUGAAGAUGACAGAGACUGUAAUUCAUCUCCGGACUUUGUAAGGAUGGUAGAACAAGAGGAAAAGUAAAUUUCACCUCAUAAAGUAGUAGACAUGGUGACUCUAGAAGAGGGAAAAGUUAUAAAAAUUGGAACAUGCAUAACUGAAGAAACAAAGCGAGACCUUGUUUGUAACACCCCUAGCCCGAGUCCGAUCGGUGAUUUAGGCUAUGAGGUAUUACCGAGCCAAACAAUUAAAUUUUUUUUUUGUCCAUAUAAUCAAUCAACAAAGACAGAAAUUAAGCUGAGUACAUACUGAUCUUUAAGUUAUAUAAAUGCCAUUUUCAUAUGGCUAAAAUAUUUACAAUACAAAACAUAACCGUCACUGGCCUAACCUAUACAUGCCAUACCAAGGCCAAAAUAUAACUGUACCAAAAAGAUCGAUAGUAUGAUGAACUGCUGAUGAUCCCCGAGUCGGUGGCCAAAAUUGACAAUCUAUAAAACAAAGAAAUAAAAUAAAACGGAGUAAGCUUUCGAGGCUUAGUAAGUUUUAAGUGUUUCAAACAAUUAAAACGUAUCAUUUAAAAUCUAACAUUAAGUAUCACAAGAACCCAAAUUUAAUUUGUAAAUUACUUGGCCAAAAACUCACAAGUACAUUAAUUAUAACCUAUUGGCCGAAUAUAUAUAUACAUGAAUACACAAGAAAAUUCUCAGUACAUAUUUCACUAUACUAUAUGGUUCAUAAAAUUUCUUUAAGAAACAUGCUUUUACAAUGACAUACAUUGACCAAAUAAGUCAUUCUCUUAUUCAUAAAUACGGUAUUCAUUCACAUACAUAUACACACUCACAUAUAUAUAUAUACCAUUCUUUGAUACUAAUAAUUCAUUUUGAAGUCAAUUCACUUAUGAGUACGUAAUACGUACCUUAGCAGGUAUAACAUAUAUAAUACUUACUUGCACGGAUAUUCAAUGUCGUAAUCAUACUUAACUUACUGACACCGGUCCUAUCAAGUCUUAGGACUCGAAACACAUAUCUAGCACAGCCUGCAGGUUUUUAACCCGGAUGUCAUUCCAGCACAAAGCCUGCGGGUCUUUAAGCCCGGAUACAAUUCCAGCACGAAGCCUGCGGGUCUUUAAGCCCGGAUACAAUUCGGGUCUUUAAGCCCGGAUACAAUUCCAGCACGAAGCUUGUGGGUCUUUAAGCCCAGAUACAAUUCCACAUCAAAAAACAUGGUUUUUUAUCGUAUUCUAACACAUUUCAUAAAACAUUUCACAUUAUUAGUAGCCAUUGGCUACAUUUGGACAUGAGCUUCUUAUGAACACCAUUAUUUCAUUUCAGCUUAAAAUCAUGCAUGAAUAUCACACGUACCUUUCAUCAAUCAAGCUUAACCCUAAUUUACCAUUCAACUUAAUUCAAAUAGAACCAAAAAGAUCAAAAUUCAUGUAGUAUAUAUAUGUCAAGGCAUUAUAAAUUUUAUACUAAAGGUGAUUACUCAAAACUUACCUUGUAUCUUUCUGAACAAAUUUCGGGUUGGUUAUUCCGCGACUUUAGCUUUUCCCUUAUCCGAGGUUGCCCCUCUAUGCUCUUGAGCUUUAAUUCAAUAAAUUUUAAACUAAUCAUUAAUCAAUUAUUCAAGUAUUACUUUCAGAAUAUAAUACAUAUAUAUUCGACUUUCACACAUACAGAUUAUAGUAAGCUUAUAAGAAAUCAAUAAGCAAUUCAUUAGCAAAAUUUUUCUUUCAUCAAUGUUUACUAUAUAAUCACAAUUUUACUAUAAGCUGAAUUCCUGAGCAACAGUCAUUAAAUUAAUUAUAACUAGAGCUACGAAACUCCAAAUCAGUUUCCGUAAAUUUUCCUUGAAAAUAGACUCAUUUAUAUUUUAUCCAUAAAAUUUUCAUAAUUUUUAGUCUAGCCAAUCAAUACCAUAUUUUUCAUAAAGUUUCCCUUGUUUCACUGUUUGACAAAUCUGACCAUUCUUCACUACGAAAUAAAUUUCUCAUUAUACAGAAAUAAAAUAUGUUGUUGUUUAUUUAAUUUGAAACUAGACUCACUAAGGAGUCUAAGCAUAUAAAAUUUAUUCUAUGACCAUUUUUAUACAUUUUAUAAUGAUUUUAUAAAAACAGAACAGGGCAUCUAGAAGUCAUUUUGACUUUGUCCCACAUUACUUCAAAUAUUUUAUGAUCGGUAAUUCUUUUACUUUUACGGUUUCUAUUAUAGAAAACUAGACUCAUCAAGCUUUAAUUAAAUAAUUUAUUCAGCUUCUAAUUCAAUUCCUACAAUUUAUGGUGAUUUUCGAAAAUCACCUUACUGCUGCUGUCCCAAGUAGAUUAUUACCAAUUCACUCUUUCACACAUUCUUUGUAUACAUAUUAUUUAAGCAUGUAUCUCACCAAUCAAUUUCAUCAUAUAUAUAUCUAUAAAUUUACUUAUACAUAAUAUCAAUACCACAUUGUGCUCAAAUCAUUUUUCAAGUUCAAUUUCACCAAGCUUCAACCUAACUUAACCUAUAAUAGUUCAUAACACAUUUAAAGCACAUACCUUACUAAAUUUUAUCAUAGUCCUCAAUCAGCCAUAGUACAUUCGGCCAUAGCAUAGACACAAAUACAUUUAACUUGAUUUCUUCAUGAAAAAUUAAGGCUAUAACCGAAUAGUGUUUAACCAUUUAAACUACAAAACACAAUUUAUAACUUCAAUUUUACAAGCUUAUAUCAUAAGAGUUUCUCCAUUAAAAUUUUCAAUGUAUAUUCAGCUAUAACACAAACACUUAAUCUUUACAAUUACAAAUUCAAAAACUUAACAUACUUUUAUAAUCUCAACCAAAUAGAGUACUUUUAUUGAUUCACAACAAAACAUCAACAUAACAUUUCUAAAUGAAAAAUCCUCUCAUGACCGAUUGCUCAUAUAGCUACCAAAAUGAAAAUUUGCACAUGGGUUAUGGAGGAAUUAAGAAACUAUCCUAAAACACACAAGAAAUUUCUAUCAAAACACUUCAAACAUACCUUAAUCAAGGCUAGGAAGGGGUAGCCGAAUGUUUGUUUUCCCCCCUUCUCUUCUUGAAAUUUUCGGCCAAAGAAAUCAAAGGAUGAACCAACUUUGGUUUCUCCUCCCCACUAAGCCAUUAUUCUUUUAUUUUUAUUCUUUAAUUCAUUUAGUUUAAAUUAAUGUUAAUAUAAUAUACAUAUAAUAUAUAUGAAUCAACUACAUGGCCAGCCACUAAAGAAAAAUGGAUAAUUUGACAUGCAAGUCCAUUUUUUUUAACAUGCAUUAGUAGACCAUAUUUAAAAUUACCUGUCACAUUUCACAAUUGUCUCACAUAAGUCCUAUUUAAUAAAUUUUACAUACAAUUGACAAAAUUAAAGCAAGAAACUUUCACACAUGUAGGUUCACAUACAAUAAGCAUAAGAUAUAACGGUUAAUUAUUUUUGUGACUCGAUUUUAUGGUCCCGAAACCACUUUCCAACUAGGGUCAAAAAUAGGGUUGUCACAUUGUUGGGUUGCUUUUGGAAUGCAAAAAUGUUUUUGCAUGGUCAUACCAACAUAUGCCUAGCUUAAGCACUGAUAUUAUAAUACAUCGCUUUCCCAUAAAAGAAGAUUGCAAGUCGGUGCAAAAGAAACUUCGAAGAAUGAGGCCAGCUAUUGUUUUAAAGAUAAGGGAGGAAGUCAAAAAGCAAUUUGAUGCUGGAUUCCUUCAGGUGAUCAAGUACUCAGGAUGGGUAGGCAACGUUGUGUCUGUUCCCAAGAAAGACGAAAAGGUGUGAAUGUGUAUGGAUUAUAGAGAUCUAAAUAAGGCUAGCCCAAAGGACAAUUUCCCCUUGCCUCACUUUGAUACACUAGUGGAUAAUACGGCUUCUUACUCGUUGUUUUCCUUCAUGGAUGGCUUCUUGGGGUACAAUUAGAUAAAGAUGCAUCCUAAAGACAUGGGAAUGACUACUUUCAUAACCUUGUGGGGCACGUUUUGUUACAAGGUGAUGCCAUUUGGAUUAAAGAAUGCUGGAGCAACAUAUCAAAGAGUCAUGGUAACCUUAUUUCAUGAUAUGAUGCAUAAAGAAAUUGAAGUCUAUGUCGAUAAUAUGAUAGCCAAAUCACGUACUGAAAAGGAACACGUCUAAGUAUUGAGAAAGUUGUUCAUGAGAUUGAGAAAAUUUCAACUAAAGCUUAAUCCAACCAAGUGUACCUUUGGGGCUAGAUCUGGAAAGCUACUGGGCUUUGUAGUCAGUGAGAGAGGAAUUGAGAUUGACUCGGACAAAGUCCGGACUAUACAAGAGUUAUCUCCACCACGCACUCAAAAAGAGGUUCGUGGCUUCCUGGGAAGACUAAACUACAUUUCUUGGUAUUUCUCAAUUAACAGAGAAGUGUGACCCUAUAUUUCUUCUUCUUAAAAAGCAUAACCUAGGAGAAUGGGAUGAUGAGUGCCAGAGAGCUUUUGAUAAAGUUAAAAGAUAUUUGUCGAGUCCUCCAGUGUUAUCACCUCCAAGCUCAGACAGACCGUUGAUAUUGUAUUUAAAUCGUGUUUGAUAAUUCUAUGGGACGUGUGCUUGGUCAACAUGAUGAAUCAGGGAGAAAAGAAAGGGCAAUAUAUUACCUUAGUAAGAAAUUCACUGAGUGUGAAUUGAGAUAUUCGCCAAUUGAAAAAUUGUGUUAUGCUUUGGAUUGGACAGCUAGGAGGUUGAGGCAAUACAUGUUGUACCAUACGACUUGGUUAAUCUCAAAGUUGGAUCCUCUAAAGUAUAUGAUGGCAUCAAAUUCCUUGAAUGGAAGGAUGCUAGGUGGCAAAUUUUGCUUUUUGAAUUUGGUAUAAUCUACGUAAGUUAAAAAGUCGUAAAAGGGAGUGCAAUAGCAAAUUUUCUUGCCAGUCGAGCUUUAGAAGAUUAUGAGCCUUUGCAUUUUGAUUUCCCCAAUGCGGAGAUAGUGUAUGUGGCAGCUACUGAAGAGGACACUACAAAAGAUCACUCUUGGAAAUUAAAUUUUGAUGGAGCCUCAAACGCUGUGGGUAAUGGAAUUGGAGCAGUCUUGGUAUCUCUAGGUGGAGAUCAUUAUCUAUUUACUUGUAAAUUGGAUUUUGAUUGCACGAAUAAUAUGGCAGAGUAUGAAACAUUUAUCAUGGGACUUCGAGUAGCUAUAGAACAAAAGAUCAAGUCAUUAGAAGUAUAUGAAGAUUCUACGCUGGUAAUUUACCAACUUCGAGGUGAAUGAGAGACAAGAGAUUUUAAAUUAAUCAAUUACAAAAGGUUGGUGUUAGGGUUAGUUGAAGAGUUUAAUGAUAUUACCUUCAAUUAUCUCCCGCGUGAUGAAAAUCAGAUGGCAGAUGCUUUGGCUACUUUGGCUUCCAUGAUCAAAAUAAGCAGACAAGAAGACGUGAAACCUAUUUAGAUGAGUGUUUGUGAGGCCCCGUCUUACAGUUAUAAUAUAGAGGAAGAAGAGAGAGAUGAUCAUCCUUGGUAUUAGGAUAUAUUACAAUAUGUGAGAAAUCGUGAAUAUCCAGAUCAAGCCACGGAGAAUGACAAAAGGAUGUUGAGAAGGUUAGACUGUGAUUAUAUUUUAGAUGGGGAGAUCCUGUACAAAAGAAGAAAGGAUCAAGUGCUUUUGAGAUGUGUGGAUGCUGUGGAGGCCAAGAAAAUCUUGGAAGAACUGCACAAGGUGUUUGUGGAACACACGCUAAUGGGUUCACAAUGGCCAGACAAAUUAUGAGGUUUGGAUAUUAUUGGUCAACUAUGGAGGGAGACUGUAUCAAUUAUGCUAAGAAAUGUCACAAAUGUCAAAUUUAUGGUGAUAGGAUUCAUGUACCUCACUCGCCUUUGCAUGUUAUGACUUCUCCAUGGCCAUUUUCCACUUGGGGCAUGGAUGUCAUAGGACCAAUCUCACCGAAGGCGUCAAAUGGGCAUCGUUUUAUCUUUUUGGUCAUUGAUUAUUUUACUAAGUGGGCGGAGGCUGCUUCUUAUGCCAAUGUAACUAAAUCGGCAGUCAGCAGAUUUUUAAAGAAGGAAAUUAAAUGUCGAUAUGGGAUGCCUGAGAGGAUCAUAUCUGAUAAUGCAUUAAAUUUGAACAACAGCACAAUAGCAGAGGUCUACAGUCAGUUUAAGAUCAGAUACAAUAAUUCAUCACCAUAUCACCCAAAAAUGAAUGGGGCAAUGGAAGCAGCCAAAAAAAAUAUCAAGAAAUUAUAAAGAUUGGCAUGAGAAGUUGUCAUUCGCUCUCUACGCUUAUCGAACAUCCAUCAGAACUUCUACUAGGGCAACACCUUUCUCAUUGGUUUAUGGAAUAGAAGCAAUUCUACCCAUUGAAGUAGAGAUACCUUCACUCUGAGUUUUGUCAAAAUUGAAGUUAGAUGAAACAGAAUGGAUACAGUCUCGAUAUGAUCAGUUGAAUUUGAUUGAGGAAAAGAGGGUAAGGGCUAUUCAACAUGGUUAGAUGUAUCAAGAAAGAAUGAUGCUGGCUUAUGACAAAGAGGUUCGCCCAAGAGAAUUUCACGAGGGAGAUUUGGUUCUGAAAAAGAUUCUUCCUAUACAGAAGGAUUUCAGAAGAAAAUAGAUGCCAAAUUGGGAGGAGUCUUAUGUGGUGAAAAAAGCUUUCUUCGGAGGAGCAUUAAUCCUGGCUGAAAUAGAUGAAAAAACUUGUCUAAUCCAGUGAACUCGGAUUUAGUCAAAAAGUAUUAUACCUAAUGAGGGGAAGAAGCCAAAGUGAAAACUCGAAAAAAUGAGGGGAAGAAGCCAAAGUGAAAACCCACAAAGGGCGCUUUGAGACCUAAUAAAAAUGGAAAAGGGCCAAAGUGAAAACCCGCAAAGGGCACUUUGAGACUCAAAAAAAUAAAAAUAAAAAAGAGAAAAAAGAAAAAGGAGAGGCCAAGGUGAAAACCCGCAAAGGGUGCCUUAAGACCAAAGGGGGAUUUGAGUUGAAAGCCCGAAAAGGGAGGCUCAAAUGUUGAUCUAAAGUAGGAAGGCGAUGAUCUUACUAUACUUGAAUUAACAAGGAAGGGGGUAUGUUGCAUCUUGGGGCAUUGACAAAGUACUUCUGAGCUUCUAAACACUUGUUAAGUUUGAAUUGGUCUUUAAAAAGUUUGUACGGAGAAGCUUAGUUUCCGAUAUCAAGGGUACCUAGUCUUCAUUUUAUUUCCAAUAAAUUGAUUAUCUUUGAAUUAGCCUUUCUUUUUUGAGAUAUACAUUCUUAAAUCAAUGGCCAUUUUUAUUCCUUUGAUGAUUUAUUCACUUCAAGCUUAAAUUUAAUACCAUUCUUAUCCAUUAUUACGAUUUGAUUGCAAGCAUGUUGCAUUGAAGUAAUGAUGAAUGAACUAGUAAUGUUUUCAUAAUAGAAGUUUCGCAUAUUACUCUAGGAGUUUCUAGAUAAUACAAGAAUCCGAAACAGGACUAUUGCUUAGAACACACCAAGUUCUGGGCAUAUAUUUGAAUAAAUUACCUCUUUGGAUUUUUUUCUGUCCAAAUUAUGAUUGAACAAAAUGACAAGACAUGGCGUUAAUGAUGUAAUUUCAAAAAAUGAUUAAUAUAAAAAGGAAUUAUUCUCAAGAAAAGGGAAAUGAUACUUUGUAUCUUUACAAAUGUCAAACAUGAACAUCUAGCUAUAACACCUGAAGAGUGAGGUAGCAGAUCGAAUAAAGGAAAUUCAACUAUAAGUUGCAAUGUUUUUGUCUCAAAAAGAAUAGUGGAAGGGACAUUGGAAUUACAGUGGGGGCAAGUUUGCUGAGUAGAAAAUGAUUGUUUCUUUAGGAUACUCUAUCGAGAAGAUGGUUGAGCGAAUACAUCAGUGAUAGAAUAUUAAUGAACAACGAGUAAUGAUACCUUAAUUUUUAAAAUGGAAUCAUUCACAUUUCUACAUAUAUCAUUCAUAUCACAUUUAGUUAGGAGCGAUUCAUUUCAAUCAUAGCAUCCUAAUUACUUGGCAUAAACAUGCGCACAUAAAAUAGAGUCUACAGGACAUGUUCCCCAGAGGACAGUGUAGCGACAUUGAUGAAGUUAGCAGAUUGAAGAAUCUUAUCUCCAUGUAUUGGCAAUGGAGCAAGAUUUAAGCCACUAGCCUUAUCUCUCUGACGUAGCAAAAGAGCAGAUUGAAGAAUAAGUCUUAUCUUUCUGAGGUAGCAAGAAAGCAGACUGAAGAUUGAAGAUCUUAUCUCCCUAAAGUUACAGCGGAGUAGAUCGAAGAUGGUGAAUCUUAUCUCCAUGUAUCGGCAAUGGAGCAGAUUUUACCACCAGCCUUAUCUCUCUGAGGUAGCAAGAGAGCAGGUUGAAGAAUGAGUCUUAUCUUUCUGAGGUAGCAAAAAAGCAAACUAAAAAUUGAAGAUCUUAUCUCCCUGAAGUUGCAGUGGAGCAGAUCGAAGAUGGUGAAUUUUAUCUCCAUGUAUCGGCAAUGGAGCAGAUUUUACCAUCAGCCUUAUCUCUCUGAGGUAGCAAGAGAGCAGGUUGAAGAAUGAGUUUUAUCUUUCUAAGGUAGUAAGAAAGCAGACUGAAGAUUAAAGAUCUUAUCUCCCUAAAGUUGCAGCGGAGUAGAUCGAAAAUGGCGAAUCUUAUCUCCAUGUAUCGGCAAUGGAGCAGAUUUAAGCCACCAGCCUUAUCUAUCUGAGAUAGCAAGAGAGCAGGUUGAAGAAUUGAGUUUUAUCUUCCUAAGGUAGCAAGGAAGCAGACUAAAGAUUAAAGAUUUUAUCUCCUUAAGCAGUAGCAGAACAGAUUGAAAGGCGGAUCUUAUCUCCAUAUAUCGACAAUGGAGCAGAUUUUAGCCACUAGACUUAUCUUUUUGAGGAAGCAAGAAAGCAGAUUGGUAAUUGUAGUCUCAUCUUCCUGAAGUAGCAAGGAAGCAGACUGAUUGCUAUCUCCAUGAGAAAAAAAUAGAGCAAAUUUAAGCCACCAGCCUUAUCUCUCUAAGGUAGCAAGAGAGCAGGUUGAAGUUUGAAGUCUUAUCUUCUUGAAGUAGCAAGGAAGCAGACUGAAGAUUGAAGAUCUUAGACAGUUGUUGAGCAGAUUGAGGAUGGCGAAUCUUAUCUCCAUGUAUCGGCAAUGGAGCAGAUUUGGACCACCAAUACUAUUUCCCUAAAGUUAACCGGGCAAAAUUGGCCCUAUUUAAAGUUGUUGCUCUAUUCUUGUUACACAAUAAUGAGCAAAGAGGGGCAGCUGUAAUAAGCCCAUCUCGCCCGGGCCCAUAAAGCUAUCCAAAAAAAUAAAUAAAAUAAAUCAAAGAAAAAUUAAUAAAUUAAAAGUCCAAGUCUUUUUACAAAAAUAAAGGCUAACUAUUACGCCCAAAUUGCCUAGCCCGGUUGUUAAGAGUAACCCAAUUAACAAAACAAAUUCUAGCCUAUUUGAAAUAUGGCCCAAUCACAAGACUGGCCCAAAUGUUUAAAGUCUGGUUUCAGAGGCCGAAAACCUAGUCAUUCACCUCACGCCGCAGCUAGCAGUCGGUCUCCAGUACCACACGUGCGCCACUAGUUCCUCGCGCACGCCUCUGCUCGUGUCUUUGUACAACUACUCCUGCAAUGGAACACACGAGAGAAGGAGCUAACCGAAUUUACAGCAAAUGACAGCAAGAAAAUGUAAUUUUAUUUUUUAUUUACUCUGUAAAUCCGACUAUAAAAAGCCAUCGAAUGUACCUGCAAAUACUUACGAGCACUAAAUAUCAGAAAAAGCAUUUCGAAAGGAAAUUAUUAAAGGUGAUUUUCUGCUUUCUAGUUUCUUUAGUUCUCCAUCGAAUCAUCUCAUUUUCUUUUUUGAUUUUUCACUAUUGUAUUUAAAAAAUAAAAGAGAAAGAGAAAGGCGAG
rnacentral:lncRNA from 1 species